CUGACGCCUGCCCGGUGCCGGAAGGUUAAGAGGAUCCGUCAGNCNUCGGNNGAAGCGGUGAAUUCAAGCCCCGGUAAACGGCGGUGGUAACUAUAACCAUCCUAAGGUAGCGAAAUUCCUUGUCGGGUAAGUUCCGACCUGCACGAAUGGCGUAACGACUUCCCCACUGUCUCGACCAGGAGCUCGGCGAAAUUGCAGUACGAGUAAAGAUGCUCGUUAAGCGCAGAAGGACGAAAAGACCCCGGGACCUUUACUAUACCUUGGUAUUGGCAUUCGGUGUGGAUUGUGUAGCAUAGGCGGAAGGCUUCGAAGCCACGGCGCCAGCCGCGGUGGAGCCGCAAGGUGAAAUACCGCUCUGUUCGCAUUGGAUGUCUAACCUCGACCAGUCAUCCUGGUCAGGGACAGUGCCUGGCGGGUAGUUUAACUGGGGCGGUUGCCUCCCAAAGAGUAACGGAGGCGCUCAAAGGUUCCCUCAGCCCGGUUGGCAAUCGGGUGGCGAGUGUAAGUGCACAAGGGAGCUUGACUGCGAGACUGACGGGUCGAGCAGGGACGAAAGUCGGAACUAGUGAUCCGGUGCCGGUGUACGGACGCGGCAUCGCUCAACGGAUAAAAGGUACCCCGGGGAUAACAGGCUGAUCAUUCCCAAGAGUCCAUAUCGACGGGAUGGUUUGGCACCUCGAUGUCGGCUCGUCGCAUCCUGGGGCUGGAGCAGGUCCCAAGGGUUCGGCUGUUCGCCGAUUAAAGCGGCACGCGAGCUGGGUUCAGAACGUCGUGAGACAGUUUGGUCNCUAUCCGUCGCGGGCGUUGGAAAUUUGAGAGGAUCUGUCCUUAGUACGAGAGGACCGGGAUGGACUUACCGCUGGUGUACCAGUUGUCUCGCCAGAGGCAUCGCUGGGUAGCUAUGUAGGGAAGGGAUAAACGCUGAAAGCAUCUAAGUGUGAAGCCCACCUCAAGAUGAGAUUUCCCAUUUCUUUAAGAAAGUAAGAUCCCUGAGAGAAGAUCAGGUAGAUAGGUCAGGAGUGGAAGUGCAGUGAUGUAUGGAGCGGACUGAUACUAAUCGAUCGAGGACUUAACCAA
rnacentral:rRNA from 1 species